UCCCUGGUAGUCCAGUGGUUAGGACUGAGCACUUUCACUGCUGGGACCUGGGUUCAAUUCUGGGUCGGGGAA
rfam:Ovis aries breed Texel chromosome 11, whole genome shotgun sequence.